rnacentral:rRNA from 3 species
AGUGAAGCGGCAACAGCUCAAAUUUGAAAUCUGGCCCCCAGGGUCCGAGUUGUAAUUUGCAGAGGAUGCUUUUGGCGAGGUGCCUUCCGAGUUCCCUGGAACGGGACGCCAUAGAGGGUGAGAGCCCCGUCUGGUUGGACACCGAGCCUCUGUAAAGCUCCUUCGACGAGUCGAGUAGUUUGGGAAUGCUGCUCUAAAUGGGAGGUAUAUGUCUUCUAAAGCUAAAUAUUGGCCAGAGACCGAUAGCGCACAAGUAGAGUGAUCGAAAGAUGAAAAGCACUUUGAAAAGAGGGUUAAAUAGUACGUGAAAUUGUUGAAAGGGAAGCGCUCAUGACCAGACUUGGGCCCGGUGAAUCAUCCAGCGUUCUCGCUGGUGCACUUUGCCGGGCUCAGGCCAGCAUCAGUUUGCCUUGGGGGAUAAAGGCUCUGGGAAUGUGGCUCCUCCGGGAGUGUUAUAGCCCACCGCACAAUACCCUGGGGCGGACUGAGGUUCGCGCAUUUAUGCAAGGAUGCUGGCGUAAUGGUCAUCAGCGACCCGUCUUGAAACACGGACCAAGGAGUCGUCUUCGUAUGCGAGUGUUCGGGUGUCAAACCCCUACGCGUAAUGAAAGUGAACGCAGGUGAGAGCUUCGGCGCAUCAUCGACCGAUCCUGAUGUUCUCGGAUGGAUUUGAGUAAGAGCAUACGGGGCCGGACCCGAAAGAAGGUGAACUAUGCCUGUAUAGGGUGAAGCCAGAGGAAACUCUGGUGGAGGCUCGCAGCGGUUCUGACGUGCAAAUCGAUCGUC